rnacentral:rRNA from 1 species
GAUGAACGCUAGCGGGAGGCUUAAUACAUGCAAGUCGUACGGUAAGGAGGGGCAACCCUCCCUAGAGUGGCGUACGGGUGAGUAACACGUAUGUAAUCUGCCCCUAACUGGGAGAUAGCCCUCCGAAAGGAGGAUUAAUACCCCACUAACAUAAUGAAAAGGACAUCUUUUUAUUUAUUAAAACUACAGGUGGUUAGGGAGUGAACAUGCGUCUCAUUAGCUAGUUGGUGAGGUAACGGCUCACCAAGGACAACGAUGAGUAGCUGGUCUGAGAGGAUGAUCAGUCACACGGGCGACUGAGACACGGGCCC